rnacentral:rRNA from 1 species
AAUAGAUACCCCGGUAGUCCACGCCCUAAACUAUGUCAACUAGUUGUCGGGGAAGAAAUUCCUUGGUAACGCAGCUAACGCGUGAAGUUGACCGCCUGGGGAGUACGGCCGCAAGGUUAAAACUCAAAGGAAUUGACGGGGACCCGCACAAGCGGUGGAUUAUGUGGAUUAAUUCGAUGCAACGCGAAAAACCUUACCUACCCUUGACAUGUACGGAAUUCCGCAGAGAUGUGGAAGUGCCCGAAAGGGAACCGUAACACAGGUGCUGCAUGGCUGUCGUCAGCUCGUGUCGUGAGAUGUUGGGUUAAGUCCCGCAACGAGCGCAACCCUUGCCAUUAGUUGCUACAUUCAGUUGGGCACUCUAAUGGGACCGCCGGUGACAAACCGGAGGAAGGUGGGGAUGACGUCAAGUCCUCAUGGCCCUUAUGGGGUAGGGCUUCACACGUAAUACAAUGGUCGGUACAGAGGGCUGCCAACCCGGCAAGGGGGGAGCUAAUCCCAGAAAGCCGACCGUAGUCCGGAUUGUAGUCUGCAACUCGACUGCAUGAAGCCGGAAUU